rnacentral:lncRNA from 1 species
UAUAUAGCAGGUGACCCAAAUGACUGGAAGGACAUCAUAACGGUAUAUUUUAGUUACGUACGUUGAUUUCAGUUUAUUUGGAUAGCAUAGUAUUUUACUAUUAAAAUGUUCAUAAUAUCUGUUCAGAAAAAACCACCAAGCGAAGUGUACGGAUAGAUAUUUUUCACUCUAUAAGGACAUUGAAUUUCUUUCGGAAAAGACUACUACCACCGGAAGAU